rnacentral:rRNA from 1 species
CGAAGGGGCUAGCGUUGCUCGGAAUCACUGGGCGUAAAGGGCGCGUAGGCGGUCUUUUAAGUCGGGGGUGAAAGCCUGUGGCUCAACCACAGAAUUGCCUUCGAUACUGGGAGACUUGAGUUCGGAAGAGGUUGGUGGAACUGCGAGUGUAGAGGUGAAAUUCGUAGAUAUUCGCAAGAACACCGGUGGCGAAGGCGGCCAACUGGUCCGACACUGACGCUGAGGCGCGAAAAGCGUGGGGAGCAAACAGGAUU